GAUUUCUGGGUUGGGCACGACAGGAAACAAGGCACCGGGAACGCGCAGGGCAUGGAUACGCGCUCCCGCGGAGUUUUUUGGGAUCCGGUAAAGAGCUAAGGAUACAUCAAGCCAGACUGUGGAAUGCCGGAAGUGAUCUCCUCCUGUGCACAUGUUUAAGUGUCCUUGAACAAGACACCAAACCCCAAUUGGUCCUGAUGGUUCCCCAGUGCCUUGCAUGGUAGCUCGCUGCACAUCACAUAGUGCUUUGGACAAAAGCACUCUAUAAAAGCAACGUAAAUAAAUUCAAUAAAGAAUAUGAAUGACAA